AAGAAGACAAAGGGCUUUUAAAAUUUUGAAAUCUCCUAAGCCACAAAAAUCCUUGCGCUCUCCAUCCGCACCAGGUCAAAACGGGGCUGGUAUUUUGUUGCUACACACAGAUGCUGUGGCACAGCUGUUUGAAUGUGGAAAUCCACCCAGUAUAUUGGUACGUGGCUGCUGCCCUGACCCCUUACUGCGCACUCUCCUUUACUCCUGCUCUAGUCACCAGAGGAACCCCCGUUCCUUUCCCAUGAUCCAAAUCCAGAAUAUGACACCUGGAUUCAUCUAGAUGAUGUGACCUGGGGCCAGUUGACCUCCCCUGGCCUCAGAUGGCUCACUGCAAAAUGGAGUCUUGUUAAACAAGAACAUGACUGAAGCCCCAGGUUGGCAUAUGGGAACCUCUUAAGCAGGGAUUGAACCCAGGACGGUCACCGUUGCAGGAAGCCAGCUAGACAAGCAGCAGCAAGUGGACUCGGAAAGACGGAGAACUCAUGCUUCAUUUUACUCCAGCCGGCACAGAGGAGAACAAACUCUAAAUUCUGCGCGCUGGCCCAUAGUUUCUCAUAACAUUUAUAGGCAAUUUUGUGCCAAAAAAUUCCUAGCCUACAUGACAGGAGCCUUGUGCCGGGUUUCUAGUGGGAAGUGUGUUUACAGAAGCAAAAAAGCGAUAGGAGGAACUGGCUCUUUGCACAGGCAUAAAUAAAUCCUUGGCCUUGUGUCUGAAGCCUGGUCCAGGGGUGUUUACGUUUCAAAAGAGAGUAGUCAGAUUCCUAGAGACAGUUAUUUACAAUCCAAAUGGUAGGGACCUAUGGUUAAUUAGGUUUCCUGAAGAAAGGCUGACAGAAGGAUGGUGGUGGUGGUGGAGGGAACUCUGACCCUUUCCCAGACGUGUUUCUUUCUCAUGAUAACAUUCUUGUGAUUUCAUUUUACAACCAGGUCUGGUUUUGCUAUCUCAUAACCACUGAGCUACAUCCCCAGCCCUUUUUUAUUUUAUUUUGAGACAGACUCUUCCUAAAUUCCCUAGGGCCUCACUAAAUUUUUUGAGGCUUGUUUUGAACUUGCAAUCCUCCU